rnacentral:rRNA from 1 species
GAUGAACGCUGGCGGCGUGCCUAAUACAUGCAAGUCGAGCGAACAGACGAGGAGCUUGCUCCUCUGACGUUAGCGGCUGACGGGUGAGUAACACGUGGAUAACCUACCUAUAAGACUGGGAUAACUUCGGGAAACCGGAGCUAAUACCGGAUAAUAUAUUGAACCGCAUGGUUCAAUAGUUAAAGACGGUUUUGCUGUCACUUAUAGAUGGAUCCGCGCCGCAUUAGCUAGUUGGUAAGGUAACGGCUUACCAAGGCAACGAUGCGUAGCCGACCUGAGAGGGUGAUCGGCCACACUGGAACUGAGACACGGUCCAGACUCCUACGGGAGGCAGCAGUAGGGAAUAUUCCGCAAUGGGCGAAAGCAUGACGGAGCAACGCCGCGUGAGUGAUGAAGGUCUUCGGAUCGUAAAACUCUGUUAUUAGGGAAGAACAAAUGUGUAAGUAACUAUGCACGUCUUGACGGUACCUAAUCAGAAAGCCACGGCUAACUACGUG